ensembl:lncRNA
AUAAUAAAUAGCUGAGAACUCAAUGCAAAGAGAGUGGAGUUCAGACCCAGCGCUGACUUCCCACACUGGUGUGGGUUUGACAAGCCACAAGCAGCAAGGCACAAGAAACCUCUACAAGUACCACACCUGGACAGAGGCCGAGGUUCGUGGUGAUGGGCAGUGAAGACUGUAUCUCAGCAGGACCUCUAGGAAAACUGGAAACAAAUGAAGACCACCCGCAUGAGAACAGACAGAAGCUGUUUACUUAGAACUUGCAAAGGAGUCUGCCAUCAUUUGCAUUUGGCAGGGACUCAAAAGCAGGCAGAGACUGGAAAAAUUCACAGUGGAAAAAAAAGGGAAGGCUUCAGGUGUGCUGUGAUUGGAGUUGUUGGCACGGGGACACCAGAGAUUCUGGCUGUUGACCACUUGGGAUGUUACUGUGCACUGGACACACACAAACUGAUGGAACUGAGGGGUAAGCGGUGGGAUGUUGGUGAGGUUAAGUAGAGAAAGCUAUAUUAGAUUUGAAUCAUAAAUUCAGAAAAUUAUAUAUAUAUAUUUCCUACUGUAUGCAAGGUACUUUUCUAGGUACUAGAGACACGGCAAUACAAAUCUCUGCCUUCAUAGAGCUUUUCUUCCAGUAGGCAUUCACUAGAUACAGGGAUUAUCUCAUUCUGUAGCAGAAGAGGGUUCUCAGCAUCAAACCAUGGAUUAUGGGAGCAAAAAUGACACAAAGAAUCAGGAAAGGUCACACUCACUGAGCCUUACUCUCUGGAAAGAACUAUUUACUGUGAAGAGAAAAUAAAAGGAAUGAAUGACAGCCUGGGAAAUAAGUAGCAAUGAGUUACAUUCAAAAUGGGGAAAGAAUUCCAUUUACCAAGUGGGAAACCUAAAACUAUAAAAAUAAAGUCAAAUUAGGGAGAGGAAGUGGCUUUUCUUUUUUCUUGACAGGAGUUUAUCUAAGGGUCUAGAAAAGAAAGAGAAAUACACUUCAAAUUUUAAUGAGCAAUUGCAGCCUCUUCCUCCUGGGUAGAACCGAUUUUCUAAGCAAGUCAGAGAUUCUCCUCUAUUGCCAACUAUACACGUGUCCUCAAACAUCCUCUGCUUCUUCCAGGAUCCUUUACCUUGAAGAGUUGUUAAGCUCUCAUAGGAAGCCUUGGUGAUCCAUCUAAACUAUUCACUCUACUGGGCAGUUCUAGUGUUGAUUCUGACAUUAUUUGGCACUCAUCCGAAAAUACAUGCAGAAGAUGUGAAAAAGCCGGGCAAUCUACUAGGUAUACGUCGGAAUGUAUGGAAAAUUCUGAAAACAGCAAUGACUCAGACAAGGUAGAAAUUUAUUUCUUGUUCACAUGAAACUUUGAGCAGGGUGCCCACACUGGUGAUGGUGCUCCGUGGUCUUAGGGACUCUGGUUUCUGGUAUUAGGGACCUUGUUGCUCCUUCCAUUUGUGACCUGCACUGCUUGUAAAGAUGGCAGCAUCUACAUUCUAGGUUGCAGGAUAAAGAAGAAGAGAGGCUGGACGCAGUGACUCACACGUGUAAUCCCAGCACUUUGGGAGGCUGAGGCUGGCACAUUGCUUCUGCCCAGGAGUUUGAGACCAGCCUGGGAAACAUGGCAAAACUCCAUUUCUACAACAAAUACAAAAUUAGCUGGGCAUGGUGGCCCAUGCCUGUAGUCCCAGCUAAGCUCCUUGGGAGGCUGAGGUGGGAGGAUUACUUGAGUCCGGGAGGUGAGGUUGCAGUGAGCCAAAAUCACACACACCACUGCACUCCAGCCUGAGUGACAGAGUGAGACCCUGUGUUAAAAAAAAAAAAAAAAAGACAACAGCAAAAGAUAUACUACUGCUGCUUCUUUAAGGAAGGGGCAAUAUUUCCACUUAUGUCCCAUUUGCUGGAUUUUAAACUUGUUGCUUCUCUCAGCCACUAGGCAGGUUGGAGAAAUACAGUUUUUAUUCUGGGUAGCCGUGUGUCCAGCUCAAACUCAGAAGAUCUAACACAAUGGAAGAACCUGGAUUUGGGGGAUGAAUUAGUAUUAAUAGAUUAGGCUCUGCUGUGGUACAUACAAACCCUAUUAUCUCAGUGGCUUGCCUAGCUAAGGUUUAUUUCCUGCUCAGGAACCCCAGUUGACAGGUGCUUCACCAUCCCUCAGCUGAUUGCUGGAACACGGGGCCUUCAAGACAGGGAUAAGAAGGGAAGAGAGGGCACGGAGGUAGAAUACCAGCUCCUAAAUGCUUACGAUUGACAUCCAUCAUUUCUGCUCUCAGCCCCUUGGCCAGAGCUAGUCCCAUGGCUUCUUCCUAACUACCGGAGAACAUGGAAAAUGUGGAAAAGCAUUUUAUUAUUGUAAGUGGGCAAUAAAUGUCUCUGCCACUUACUGGGGUUAAUACUUGAAUUCAGUUAAAGAGCCGAAGUUCUGAUUGAGCACUUUGUCAGCAUUUAACUUUCCUCUCUUCCCCCACAGGCCUAUCUGUGGCUUGGAGCCUCCGUGUCCUUCUAGCCCUGUCAAUCUGUGUUUUUCUCUGUGUGUCCACAUACACAGAUUGUAUACAACCUCUGUGUAUCCACAGUCUUGAAGAGAAGCCCUGGGCUCUGGUGCUAUAUUUUCCCAUUUGGCACAGAGGAGGCCUCCCUUUAAACGACAAUAAAAAUAGCCUCCAUUUAUGUUGCUGUUUCUUUCCCUUUGUCUCUUCUACUAAAGGAGCCAACUAAACAAAAUGUGUGCUUUCGGUGCCUGUUCUGUGUUCACUUUAAGAUUUAAUCAACCCUCUGAACCUGCAGCAUAACUGUCUCAUAAUGUCAAGUUAAUAUAUCGAGAUCAGCUCGAACCUACCAUUCCCAAGGGUGAUUUUGUUUAAAGGCAAGUUGUAAUUGAAUUUCUAAGCAACUGCCAAGCUUUCAAGGUACCAAAAUAAACAUUAUCCAAACAGAAACUUAUCCUGGAAUCUUUGGUUAACU